AUUGAACGCUGGCGGCGUGCUUAACACAUGCAAGUCGAACGCGAAAGGGACUUCGGUCCUGAGUAAAGUGGCGCACGGGUGAGUAACGCGUGGAUAAUCUGCCCUUAUGAUCGGGAUAACAGUUGGAAACGGCUGCUAAUACCGGAUACGCUCAAAAUGAACUUUUUGAGGAAAGAUGGCCUCUGCUUGCAUGCUAUCACGUAAGGAUGAGUCCGCGUCCCAUUAGCUUGUUGGCGGGUAACGGCCCACCAAGGCAACGAUGGGUAGCCGAUUUGAGAGGAUGAUCGGCCACACUGAAACUGAAACACGGUCCAGACUCCUACGGGAGGCAGCAGUGGGGAAUAUUGCGCAAUGGGCGAAAGCCUGACGCAGCGACGCCGCGUGAGGGAUGAAAAGGUUUUCGGAUCGUAAACCUCUGUCAGAAGGGAAGAAACUACGUUGUGCUAAUCAGCAGCGUACUGACGGUACCUUCAAAGGAAGCACCGGCUAACUCCGUGCCAGCAGCUGC
rnacentral:rRNA from 1 species